rnacentral:piRNA from 1 species
UCCUGGUGCUUAAUAAAGUUAUUAUCCUAGCC